rnacentral:rRNA from 1 species
UGAGGAAUAUUGGUCAAUGGGCGAGAGCCUGAACCAGCCACGUCGCGUGAAGGAAGACUGACCUUACGGUUUGUAAACUUCUUUUGUAGAGGGGUAAUGGCAGAUACGUGUAUUUGCGUGAAAGUACUCUACGAAUAAGCAUCGGCUAACUACGUGCCAGCAGCCGCGGUAAUACGUAGGUCCCGAGCGUUGUCCGGAUUUAUUGGGCGUAAAGCGAGCGCAGGCGGUUAGAAAAGUCUGAAGUGAAAGGCAGUGGCUCAACCAUUGUAGGCUUUGGAAACUGUUUAACUUGAGUGCAGAAGGGGAGAGUGGAAUUCCAUGUGUAGCGGUGAAAUGCGUAGAUAUAUGGAGGAACACCGGUGGCGAAAGCGGCUCUCUGGUCUGUAACUGACGCUGAGGCUCGAAAGCGUGGGGAGCGAACAGG